CCUACUGAAAAUUAUAAAAAAAAUCACCCCUAACUCAAGUAAAAAAAAAACUCUUUUAACCCUAUCAUUGGAAAUUUUAACUAUCAUCUCCCUUUUAGCCUUCCUCACAUUCCCUUAACAUUUCAUUUGUACAGAAUAAACAUCUUAUUUGUAUUAAGAAUAAACAUCUUAUUUGCUGUAGACGUAGUCUUUUAGAUCCAUGCUGUGCAGCGUUACGAGGAUUAGGGUGAAGGUGGCGGAGGAAGGAGGAAAGGAAAAAGUCAGAACUGCCAUGAAAUCUCGCAAAAAAAAUAAAAAUCAAUUACGUGUCACAAUAUGAUAAGAUAAAUCUUUAAGAUGAGAACAAAAAAUAAAAUAAAAUUCAAAACAACACUGAGCGAGUACUAUUUAUCUUUCAAAUUCGGUGAAAUUAAUAGUUGAGAAUCGUUAAAUGAAAAUUUAAAUCAGUCCAAUAAUCUAAAGGCUCUUAGUUAUCAACUUCACGUGAAAUGGAGUGCACCUGACUUUCCACUUUCAAAUUCCCUUCAUCACUGAGCGAGUCAGAGAUAGACACCGACUCAGUGAGGGGUUUCUGUUUUCUAUCUUAAAACGCGCCGAGUCAAACGAGUCACAGUCAGCGAGCUGAGUUGAACCAGGUGCUUGCUUCUUCACUCUUUCUCCAUUGUGUUGUUUUUUGCAUUAUGGGCAUUCCAAAGUUCGAGUCUUUUCUUCUUCUUCGUCGUUUCAAUGUCUAUUUCUCACGGUUUCAUCAUCUGGGGUAGCAUCAAAUAAUCGAAUUUUUUAUAAAAGAAUCGUGGGGUUUCGAGGUUUUUCAGCUUUUCCUUUUGUUUCUUUUGAUCAUCUUGAUAUGUUAGCUUUUGUUUUAGCUCGAGA
rnacentral:lncRNA from 1 species